GGAGAGGUGGCAGAGCGGUUGAAUGCACUGGUCUUGAAAACCAGCAAGGGUUAAUAGCCCUUCGUGGGUUCAAAUCCCACCCUCUCCGCCA
rnacentral:tRNA from 4 species